AGGGUGCGAGCGUUGUCCGGAAUUAUUGGGCGUAAAGGGCUCGUAGGCGGUUUGUCGCGUCGGGAGUGAAAUCCACUGGCUUAACUGGUGGCUUGCUUUCGAUACGGGCAGACUGGAGGUAUGCAGGGGAGAACGGAAUUCCUGGUGUAGCGGUGAAAUGCGCAGAUAUCAGGAGGAACACCGGUGGCGAAGGCGGUUCUCUGGGCAUGUCCUGACGCUGAGGAGCGAAAGUGUGGGGAGCGAACAGG
rnacentral:rRNA from 1 species